UACGUAGGCAGCAAGCGUUGUUCGGAAUUACUGGGCGUAAAGAGUUCGUAGGCGGUGUGCCAAGUUUGGUGUGAAAUCUCCCGGCUCAACUGGGAGGGUGCGCCGAAUACUGGCAUGCUCGAGUACAGGAGAGGAAAGCGGAAUUUCUGGUGUAGCGGUGAAAUGCGUAGAUAUCAGAAGGAACACCUGUGGUGUAGACGGCUUUCUGGACCGUAACUGACGCUGAGGAACGAAAGCGUGGGUAGCAAACAGG
rnacentral:rRNA from 1 species